rnacentral:rRNA from 1 species
GACGAACGCUGGCGGCGUGCCUAAUACAUGCAAGUAGAACGCAGUUGCGAACGGGUGAGUAAAGCGUAGGUAACCGCCUGGUAGCGGGGGAGAACUAUUGGAAACGAUAGCUAAUACCGCAUACUACCAGACGGACCUGCGUUGUAUUAGCUAGUUGGUGGGGUAACGGCUAACCAAGGCAACGAUACAUAGCCGACCUGAGAGGGGUAUCGGGCACACUGGGACUGGGACACGGCCCAGGAUCCUACGGGAGGCAGCAGUUGGGAAUCUUCGGCAAUGGACGGAAGUCUGACCGAGCCACGCCGCGUGAGUUAAGAAGGUUUUCGGAGCGUAAAGCUCUGUUGUAAGAGAAGCGGUAUCUUCCCAGAAAGGGACGGCUAACUACGUGCCAGCAGCCGCGGUAAUUC